GACGAACGCUGGCGGCGUGCUUAACACAUGCAAGUCGAACGGUAAGGCCUUUCGGGGUACCCGAGUGGCGAACGGGUGAGUAACACGUGGGUGAUCUGCCCUGCACUUCGGGAUAAGCCCGGGAAACUGGGUCUAAUACCGGAUAGGACUGCGCGGUGCAUGCCGUGUGGUGGAAAGAUUUAUCGGUGCAGGAUGGGCCCGCGGCCCAUCAGCUUGUUGGUGGGGUAAUGGCCUACCAAGGCGACGACGGGUAGCCGGCCUGAGAGGGCGACCGGCCACACUGGGACUGAGACACGGCCCAGACUCCUACGGGAGGCAGCAGUGGGGAAUAUUGCACAAUGGGCGCAAGCCUGAUGCAGCGACGCCGCGUGAGGGAUGACGGCCUUCGGGUUGUAAACCUCUUUCAGCAGGGACGAAGCGUGAGUGACGGUACCUGCAGAAGAAGCACCGGCCAACUACGUG
rnacentral:rRNA from 1 species